UAGGGAAUCUUCGGCAAUGGACGAAAGUCUGACCGAGCAACGCCGCGUGAGUGAAGAAGGUUUUCGGAUCGUAAAACUAUGUUGUUAGAGAAGAACAAGGACGUUAGUAACUGAACGUCCCCUGACGGUAUCUAACCAGAAAGCCACGGCUAACUACGUGCCAGCAGCCGCGGUAAUACGUAGGUGGCAAGCGUUGUCCGGAUUUAUUGGGCGUAAAGCGAGCGCAGGCGGUUUCUUAAGUCUGAUGUGAAAGCCCCCGGCUCAACCGGGGAGGGUCAUUGGAAACUGGGAGACUUGAGUGCAGAAGAGGAGAGUGGAAUUCCAUGUGUAGCGGUGAAAUGCGUAGAUAUAUGGAGGAACACCAGUGGCGAAGGCGGCUCUCUGGUCUGUAACUGACGCUGAGGCUCGAAAGCGUGGGGAGCAAACAGG
rnacentral:rRNA from 1 species